ACUGGAAAACAUGGGGACACUGAGACACUGGGACACAUGGGGAUGCUGAGACACAUAGGGACGCUGUGAGACAUAGGGACAUUGGAAGACAUUGGGACACGGAGACACCAUGUCCCCCAGUCAGUGUCCCUAGUGUCUCAGUGUCCCCAAGUCUCCCAGUGUCUGUGUCCCAUGUCUCUCAGUG